UACCUGCACCCCGAGUGGUCGGGACGUUUAUUGGGCCUAAAGCAUCCGUAGCCGGUUCUACAAGUCUUCCGUUAAAUCCACCUGCUUAACAGAUGGGCUGCGGAAGAUACUAUGGAGCUAGGAGGCGGGAGAGGCAAGCGGUACUCGAUGGGUAGGGGUAAAAUCCGUUGAUCCAUUGAAGACCACCAGUGGCGAAGGCGGCUUGCCAGAACGCGCUCGACGGUGAGGGAUGAAAGCUGGGGGAGCAAACCGG
rnacentral:rRNA from 1 species